UACGGAGGGUGCAAGCGUUGUCCGGAAUCACUGGGCGUAAAGGGCGCGUAGGCGGCUCGGUAAGUAGGGGGUGAAAUCCUGCGGCUUAACCGCAGGGCUGCCUUCUAAACUGUCGAGCUUGAGCACGGUAGAGGCAGAUGGAAUUCCCGGUGUAGCGGUGGAAUGCGUAGAGAUCGGGAAGAACAUCAGUGGUGAAGGCGGUCUGCUGGGCCGUUGCUGACGCUGAGGCGCGACAGCGUGGGGAGCAAACAGG
rnacentral:rRNA from 1 species